CCCGCCCGGGGCACGGCGCUCCCCCCGCGGGGGCAGCGCAGCCGCCGCGGUACAGCCCGACCUCGGGGGGUUCCGCCGGCCCGGAGUUGGGGGGUCUGCGGGGAUGCGGCUCCGGGUUUAAACUGCGCUCGAGAGCGAUGUGCUCAUCAGUUUGCUGCAAUUAGCGCUAUAACCCGUGCCAGCGCAACCCGCGGUAAAGACAAAGCUGCAGGGGGAGGCGGUGUCAUCCGGCGGGUUCGGCACUCGGAGCCGUGGCCACCUGCGCGUGGCCGUCACGGGACAGGGGAACCCGGCUGCCGCCGCGGGCAGGGCUGCGGAGCCCGGCGAAGAGAUUUGGACUGGCUUUAUAAAUUAAACAGUAUGCGAUGACAGCUUUGGAGAGAUCUCGUGGGAGGAAAUGAGGAAAUGUCAGGAAUCCCACGUGGACUCAGUGAAUCUCUGCCAAUAACAAGGACCCCAAGAGCUACUCCCUGGAAGCCUCUGCCCCCAAGGAAACACCACCUUCCUCAUCGAUCACAAUAUCUCAGUCCAUGUGCAGCCAUUGCAGUCUUGUGCCACAGUGUGUGGCAACCCUUUCUAUGAAGAAAUUUCUUCUAAUGUCCAGUCUGAAUCUCCCCUAGCACAACCUGUUAUCUGAGAGAAGAGACUGAACUCCCACCUCACUGCAACCUCCUGUCAGUGUCCAGCACAGACAUCUCUCUUAAUACAAGAUUAUAUGUGGUAUCCAAAAUCAGAUAUGUUGAAGAUACACACCUCCAUUUGAAAAAAAGUCCAGCAAGUCUGAAUGUUCUCAAUGAGGAACACCAAGUCCAUUGCUUUGGAUAACAGUUAAUUCAGAUGCAAAUCUAAUGUGAAAUAUGAGAAUGUCUAAUGAUGAUGAGGUGGAAACUAUGCUGAUCUUUUCUAAUCACAUCGUGAAUAAAACAACAUUUAAGAAAAAUGCAAGGUUCCUAAUUUCUGGAUAUGGAUUUAAUUUAUUUAGCAAACUAAAUACAAUUUCUUCUAAAACUAGUAGAUGGCCAUUCACAUUGCUGUUGCAGAAUGACAUUAAAGGGAUUAGACUAAUUUUCUUAAGAAAUGUUGAAGGUGGAUGUUAUUCAUGUAACAUAUCCACAGCAGAAACAUUGUAUAAGUCAAGAAAGAGAUUCAUAAUGACUGGCUUUACUUUCAGGAAUAGAAUGGUCAAUAUAAUUUCAUUCUUUCCUUUUUCUAGUCCUUUUUCUAACUUCUUCAGCGUGACAUCAUACCCUGUAUAAAAUCUUUGCUCUUGACUUAUAUGGCAAAGGAAAUUGGUUUGGAUCUGUUUUCCUCUAGAUUUUGAACACUGAUAAGAUCAAUAUAAACGUGUACGAAAGGAAGACUGAAGCUGUUUCAGUAAAUUUAACAGUCCCAGAAAAUGUUUGCAAGUGCUAGAAAAUUAUCACUUACACUGUUGAAUCACUGGUGAAUUUCUGAUUUCGUUUGACAACUAGCCCUCACCAAAACAAUGCAGAGGGGCAGAGGGCAGUAUAGUCCAGGCACCAGCCCCAGCUGGCAGUCAGGUUGAAGCUGUCUUUUUCUGCAGAAGAGAUUUAAUAGUAUGAAUGUAAGUUGUUCUGAGAUUAAUGUCGCUAAAUAUCAUCUCAUCAAAUGCUCAGCACUAGAAUCCAAAGUACUGCAUUUUGUGUAUGUAAGCUCUUGACUAUGUUACUCUCCCUUAAACAAUGCACUUGGUACUCAUUUUAGUGAAAAGAUUCUUUCAGAAGAAAAGAAAGUAGCUCUCCUUCAUUGAGAUCUCUGCUAUCUAUGGCAACUGGAAAUAAUUUUCAGAAUCCUGGUAGCCUAGGUAAAGAAUACCUACUUUCCCUCACUACUAUCAGGGAAAACUGUGCUUACAGCUACCAGUAUGAAGAUUUAAAUGACAAGUCUUCAAGAAAAUGAAGAGUAACAAAAAAUAUUGUUGCUAUGCAAAUGUUGCAAACUUAGGACAUGUGAACUAAAUGCAUACUUAGGAAAGGGACAGCAUAUUUAAGAAUAACUAUAUCAUUAAGUGGAUGGAUUAGGAAUCAAAUGUGUUCCCCUACAAAAAUAAAAAAAAAAUAUUUUUUAAGAGUUUAAAAUCCAAAAGAGUGGAAAGACAAAAAAAAAAAAAAAACAACUGGGCAGUAAAGGAAAAAGUGCUGGCUUGUAAAAUAUAUAAACUCCUACCUAAUAAUAAUAAAAAUCAUCUUGUCAAGGGUUGUAUCUGUGAGCCUUAUAAAGCACUAAGUCUUUGGGAAACGUGAAAGACUAGAGAAGCAGAGCACUCUGUGGAAAAGGGGUGCACUGGAAAUGCGAAUGGAGACAGAGGGAGAAAAAAGACAACAGAAAAUAAGCUUAUAAUCACACUAAAAGUUUUCUUUUUUUUUUAGUAAGUUAUAUAGUAAGUUGAAUUAAAAAAAAAAAGUGACCAUGAAAACCUGCAUUUCUUACAUUUGCAUAUAAAUUGCUUAUAGCAAUUGCUUCCUGAAAGGUCACCAGCAAGCUGGAUAUGCCAAGACAUAGGAGAAAACCCUUCCCAGUGAGGGAAGAGCUACCAAAGUAUCAAGGAGUGAUGGCAACUAGACGAUAUUGAUAUGGUCCUUCACAGUCUGCAUACCUCUGUUCCCCUCUCAGCCUGGUGCAGAAUCAACACUAGGGCAUGCAAAUAAAAUAGCCAAGUUUUCUGUUUUAUAAAGUCUUUGCUUGCACUUUGUGCUGGAGGACUCCAGAUGGUGCUGGUACCAGUCACCUCAUGCUCAAGCAGCCUCUGCCAUCUUCUGCAUCAUACUGGUUGCUCUGGAGCAGGGGGAUUUUGAUCCACGAAUAAUAUAUCUGAGUCAAAUUCCACUGUUUCCACAUGAGUUUAAAGUCAGACUGCAUAGGGCAAUUUUUACCUUUGAACCAAUUUAAAUGAGACCAAAACUGAGGGUAAAAUAUCCUGUUACUCUGAAAGGACCUGCCAUGGGGAAAAAGAAUUGUUACUGACAAAAAUUAUUCAAAGCAAAAAUUUCCUUUAAAUUUUACAAGCUCUCUCUGAAAUCAAACUGUUUUUUUCAGAGUGUUGAAAACAAUGAAAUAUCAUAAUGUUUAGCAGAAGAAAUUUACAUUUUCUGGUGUAUUUAAACUCCUCGAUUCAUUAACUUUCCUCUGAGAUGUUCUUACAUAUCAAACAGCAGGUCUGAUCUUGCAGGCCCUUUUGUUGGUCAACAUUCUGUUUUCAUAUUUAUUUCCAUAGAAUGUUUGUAUAAAAAGAAUAAUAAAAUCCCGUUUAAUAUCUGUUAUGAUUGAUGAAAAAAAACAGGUUCCUAAAACCAAAUUAAUUUUGCUUCCCUGAGAAUCUGAAAGUAUCUCUUAUCAUGUGCAGCCGUCUCUACAAACCACCCAAGGUGAUCUGUUUGCUCGCAUUUCUUUUAAUUGCUUAUUCAUCAGUUUAUUAGGUUAUUAGAGAACCUGCUACUAGAUAGCUCAUGAGAGCAUGCCCAUGUUUCUGAGUAAUGUGCCACAGAGAUAGUGAAAUAGCCUUUGGAGAGCUGCCCUGAUUCCUGUAGCUCAGAGCAUGGCUCUGCGCAGUUGCCCUGGCUAAUUCACACUACUUUUUGAAUAGGGAAAUUAAAGUAUCCCUGAACUCCCCUGUAUUUCAUGCAGAUUAUUUGUAUUUUGUCUUCUAAUUCUCUUAAAGCACUGAGUAUCUUUGUGUUCUGUUGUACUUAUUUAGAAAAAUAAGUAUGUGAACCAAUAUAUACAAAUUAAUAUAAUAACAUCCAGAGGUCACAGGAGCCAACUCUGCAAAGUACUGAGCAGCCCCUUUUCAACUUCACUGGUAAUAUAAGAUGGUCUGAGCUUCCCAAACACUUCUAUAGAUCAAUCUAUUCUGGUCUUUUAAUUGACUGUAACUGAAGAAUACAUCUCUUUACUGUUUACUGAAACUAAGUUUUCUUCAGUUGUUAACAUCAGUGUAGUCCACUGAAAAUUCACUACUAAUGUUUAUGUAGGUAUAACAAAAGUGUGGUUUUGCUUUACUGUUUUCUACAUGACACAUCUCCUUUCUUCUCUUUCCCCAACUUUCUUUAUAAUUCCUUUGGAAAUAGCUGAAAACUGCACUUUCGAAUAUUUGUAAAGUUGAUUAAAAAUAAGCAGUCUUUUAAAUGAUGUUGCUUACUGAAUCCAUUAAUACUUGGUAAGGAGAGAGCUCAAAAGGUUCUUCUAAGUGAUAAAUGUAUAAAUCCAUUUUAGGCUUCAUAAAAUAAAGCUUAUUGAUAUGUAUCUUACUAUGCAGUUUUUCAGUUGCUGCAGGGUUAAUUUUUAUUUUUGUUUUAAGUAACUGUUCCAUAAAUAUUAAAGUACAUCUCUUCUUAAAGGAAAAAAAGGAAAAGUACAAUCUGGGUGCUAGGAUGCUAGUAAGAAGCAAUAAAUUAUUACUGUAAUGACAUGCUAAUUAAAAUUUUGCUUGUAACUCAUGUAAGUGUUUGAAGCCCAGCAAAUUUCUCUUUUCAUUUGUGAAGUGUGAAGGUAAAUUGCCCAGUGACAGUGGGACAUCGCUAACAAGUACAAAUUGAAUAACAUGCUAUCUUGCUCUAUUAGUCCUGACUAGCAUGUCUGAAUUAGAUAUUCAGCACACUCCCCAUUGUAGGCCUGAUUGAUAAAUGCUAAGGAGAAUUUGUCAAAACAACAGGGGCUACACCCAGUGGGACAUCAAUAUGCUCCAUUUAGUCACCCACCCGGCAUUUCCUACAUAGGAUUGUCACAUAAAAUUAAGACUAGCCGCUAACCAGCCAUCAAGCUUGCAGCAGACACUAGGCAGCCUGUGUUCUGUAUGCAUAUUAGUCACAUGCUUAACAAUUUGGGCUGUCAUGACUGAAGCAUGCAGUGACCUCUGGAGCAGAGGUUGAAUUUUGCAACUACACUAGACAUCAUGCUCAGCUGUUCAAGAUUUUAGGCCAUUUCCUGCCUGAUCUGUGCACAGAUGCACUGCCCUAAGCUACAAUCUGUGGCCUAGUCCAAAUGACAAAUGGCACAGCAUAGAUUAUUGCAUUAUAUAUUAAGUACUACAAGUCUGUAAAUUAUAAGUAAACUACUGUUCAGCCUGAACGUCUGCUGCAACUUUUAAAACAUUUUCCUUCAUAAAGCCUGUUAUGUGCAGUACCAAUAAAUAUUUGGAAAACAAAGGCAUCAAAGUUUAAAUACUGAAAUAGACUGUUUUCUCUGCAAUUAGCUGCCUGAAUAUGAAAGAGUUUUUUCCAGCUUCAAUUCACUAAGUUGAAGCUGGACUUGUUUCGCCUCCAUUCCUCUCCUUUUCACUGAGAAUUAUUAGCAAAUUAAGAUUUUCUGUGGGCUCUAUAUGUUGAACAAUUUUUGCCAGAUAAAUGGUUGAGGCCAGCCAUUUUACAUAGUUCUUUCAGUAUGGAUUAGACAUGCAAUAUUCAAAGCUAAUAAAUAUAAAUAAGAAAACUAAACAUCCUCAGUUCUGAGGAAUUUAAUUUGUAGUUCUAUAAUGCUUAGUCUCUGUUUAUGUACUGAAGUUCUUGUUUACACAUGGAACAGCUGUAAAGAAUAUAAAGAACCUAUCUGGAAGGAAAAGCGUUCACUGCUUUUCCUGUUACUGAGCUGCAAUAUUUCAUUUGUCUAAGUGGGAUUUUUGUGUUUCCUACCUGUGGUUUGUACUCCAGUCAGUUGUGUAAUAUCAACAAUCAAAUUUUUGGUGUUAGGAUGGAAAGAAGAAAGAAAUAAAGAGACA